rnacentral:tRNA from 3 species
CGGGGCGUGGCGCAGCCUGGUUAGCGCGCGUGCUUUGGGAGCACGAGGUCCCCGGUUCGAAUCCGGGCGCCCCGA